CCUCCCUGGGCUCUGACAGCCCCCUGUCUUGACAGACAUGGCCACUCCUCCUUCCCUGGGAGCUCCUCCACUGUCACCUCAUCUGUCCCUCUACAUACAUCUCCAAAGAACGGGGAGGGGAGCCAAAAAAUUCUAUUCUUCCUGCUUCCUAGUGCCCAGAAGACAGAAGUUUUCUCAAUAAACAUUUGUUGACAUAUUAAAUUAAAUUAUCUCAUUAAUUAAUACAUUCUCCUUGGCAAUAUUCACUUGAGGACUUGCUAGCGUUUGCAGGCCACUGUCAUUCUUAUGCACUAACAUUUCUUUAGAGCACAUGACGUGUGCCUGGUCUUGAUCACACAAUGGGGAUGCUGAGGCACAGACCCUAUGACCUGCCCUGGGAGAUCAUGGCCAAGAGCAGAAACUCACAGCACCUUGAUGACUGCUCAAGAACUCCAUGUGUACUUGGCAGGGGAAGAAUCUUACUUUUGGUUCUACUACUCAGGAGCUGAGUCUGCGACGACCCUGCACCUAUCUAAGCCUUUUAGUGUCACCUGUAGAAGAGGAAUGAGGAGGGUCACUUCACUCGGCUCCUGGAUAUUCAGAUUAGAUCUCCUGUGUGAAGCUUCUGAAGAUGGAGCUACAAAUAGACCAAUAUAUGAACUUCACCACAAAAUGGUUAUGGAGGACACAUCCCGGACUCCUAGAUGACAUUAACCACCUCCAUGCUGAGCCAGAAUGGAACAAAGCAAGGACCUGGGGGCUCCGGAUAACCCAGCAUCACUAGUGUGACUCUGAUCACCUUCAUGACAGCCCAGCACUCUUCAGUGGACAGAAGUUUGGGUUUCCCGGAAAAUGCAUACAGACUUCACCUCUGAGUUCUGCUGUGACCAAGCCAGAGAGAGAGUUUAGGACACAACCUGGGUGGGAGACUUAGCCCCAGACUAAAGGACCUGCAGGUGAAGGAGCAUCCUGUUGGCUGAGGGUGGGGUCUGCAGGGAACCCCUCCCCUUCUGUGUCCCUUGGGGUUGAGCCCUUCUCUGAAACCACAAAGCUCCUCAAACAACACUGCCUGAGCCCUGGCUGAUUUGCAUGUCCAGCAGCUCUCUCCAGAAAGAGGAUAAGAGAGGCCUGGGAGGAAACCUGCCUAGCCUUGGGGCUUGAGGAGAAGAAUCAGGGCACCUCCACCAUGGCUUGGACCCCUCUCCUGCUUGCCCUAGUUGCUCACUACAUAGGCUCUGUGGCCUCCUACAUGUUGAUGCAGCCAACAUCAGUGUCAGUGACCCUGGGACAGACAGCCAGAUUCACCUUUGGGGGAAACAACAUUGGAAACAAAGUUGUUCACUGGUACAAGCAGAAGCCAAGACAAGCCCCUGUGCUGGUGAUUUAUGAUGAUAACAGCCGGCCCUCAGGGAUCCCUGACUGAUUCUCUGGCUCCAACUCGGGGAACACAGCCACCCUGACCAUCAGCGGGGCCCAGGCUGAGGAUGAGGCUGACUAUUACUGCCAGGUGAGGGACAGCAGUGGUAAAGCGCACAGUGACACAUACUGAGGGGGAAGAGAGACACAAACCCCUUUCCUUUCUCUAUCACACUCUCCUCCAGCCCCAGGAGGACUGUAGACAAAGCCAUGAGCAGACCUUGCCCAGGUUCCUGGAUCUGAGAUCCCCAGGCUGCCCUCUCCUCCCAGCCCUCCAAGCAGGCUCUG